rnacentral:rRNA from 1 species
UAGGGAAUCUUCGGCAAUGGACGAAAGUCUGACCGAGCAACGCCGCGUGAGUGAAGAAGGUUUUCGGAUCGUAAAACUCUGUUGGUAGAGAAGAACGUUGGUGAGAGUGGAAAGCUCAUCAAGUGACGGUAACUACCCAGAAAGGGACGGCUAACUACGUGCCAGCAGCCGCGGUAAUACGUAGGUCCCGAGCGUUGUCCGGAUUUAUUGGGCGUAAAGCGAGCGCAGGUGGUUUAUUAAGUCUGGUGUAAAAGGCAGUGGCUCAACCAUUGUAUGCAUUGGAAACUGGUAGACUUGAGUGCAGGAGAGGAGAGUGGAAUUCCAUGUGUAGCGGUGAAAUGCGUAGAUAUAUGGAGGAACACCGGUGGCGAAAAGCGGCUCUCUGGCCUGUAACUGACACUGAGGCUCGAAAGCGUGGGGAGCAAACAGGAUUAGAUACCCUGGUAGUCCACGCCGUAAACGAUGAGUGCUAGAUGUAGGGAGCUAUAAGUUCUCUGUAUCGCAGCUAACGCAAUAAGCACUCCGCCUGGGGAGUACGACCGCAAGGUUGAAAC